UCCAUCACCACGUUGAAGAGUAUUGGC
rnacentral:sRNA from 1 species